UGCUUAACACAUGCAAGUCGAACGAGAACGGUCCUAGCUUGCUAGGAUGUCAGCUAAGUGGCGGACGGGUGAGUAAUGUAUAGUUAAUCUGCCCUUUAGAGAGGAAUAACUACUGGAAACGGUAGCUAAUACCUCAUACUCCUUCUUUUUUAAUAAGAGUUGGGAAAUGUUUUUUCGCUAAAGGAUGAGACUAUAUGGUAUCAGGUAGUUGGUGGGGUAAGAGCCCACCAAGCCAAUGACGCCUAGCUGGUCUGAGAGGAUGAUCGGCCACACUGGAACUGAGACACGGUCCAGACUCCUACGGGAGGCAGCAGUGGGGAAUAUUGCACAAUGGAGGAAACUCUGAUGCAGCAACGCCGCGUGGAGGAUGACACAUUUCGGUGCGUAAACUCCUUUUAUAUGGGAAGAUAAUGACGGUACCAUAUGAAUAAGCACCGGCUAACUCCGUGCCAGCAGCCGCGGUAAUACGGAGGGUGCAAGCGUUACUCGGAAUCACUGGGCGUAAAGCGCGCGCAGGCGGCUAUUUAAGUUGGAUGUGAAAGCCUACGGCUCAACCGUAGAACUGCAUCCAAAACUAUUUAGCUAGAGUGUGGGAGAGGAAGAUGGAAUUAGUUGUGUAGGGGUAAAAUCCGUAGAGAUAACUAGGAAUACCAAAAGCGAANGCAAUCUUCUGGAACAUUACUGACGCUGA
rnacentral:rRNA from 1 species